CCUACGGGUGGCAGCAGUGGGGAAUAUUGGGCAAUGGGCGAAAGCCUGACCCAGCCACGCCGCGUGAAGGAAGAAGGCUCUCGGGUUGUAAACUUCUUUUGACAGGGAAGAGCAGAAGACGGUACCUGUCGAAUAAGCCACGGCUAACUACGUGCCAGCAGCUGCGGUAAUACGUAGGUGGCAAGUGUUGUCCGGAUUUACUGGGUGGAACGGGUGUGUAGCCGGGCUGACAAGUCAGUUGUGAAAUCCGGGGGCUCAACCCCCGAACUGCAUUUGAAACUGUUGGUCUUGAGUAUCGGAGAGGCAGGCGGAAUUCCUAGUGUAGCGGUGAAAUGCGUAGAUAUUAGGAGGAACACCAGUGGCGAAGGCAGCCUGCUGGACGACAACUGACGGUGAGGCGCGAAAGCGUGGGGAGCAAACAGGAUUAGAUACCCGGGUAGUC
rnacentral:rRNA from 1 species